rnacentral:rRNA from 1 species
UAAUGCAUAGGAAUCUGCCCGGUAGUGGGGGAUAACCUGGGGAAACCCAGGCUAAUACCGCAUACGUCCUACGGGAGAAAGGGGGCUCCGGCUCCCGCUAUUGGAUGAGCCUAUGUCGGAUUAGCUAGUUGGUGAGGUAAUGGCUCACCAAGGCAACGAUCCGUAGCUGGUCUGAGAGGAUGAUCAGCCACAUCGGGACUGAGACACGGCCCGAACUCCUACGGGAGGCAGCAGUGGGGAAUAUUGGACAAUGGGGGCAACCCUGAUCCAGCCAUGCCGCGUGUGUGAAGAAGGCCUUCGGGUUGUAAAGCACUUUCAGCGAGGAAGAACGCCUAGCGGUUAAUACCCGCUAGGAAAGACAUCACUCGCAGAAGAAGCACCGGCUAACUCCGUGCCAGCAGCCGCGGUAAUACGGAGGGUGCAAGCGUUAAUCGGAAUUACUGGGCGUAAAGCGCGCGUAGGUGGCUUGAUAAGCCGGUUGUGAAAGCCCCGGGCUCAACCUGGGAACGGCAUCCGGAACUGUCAGGCUAGAGUGCAGGAGAGGAAGGUAGAAUUCCCGGUGUAGCGGUGAAAUGCGUAGAGAUCGGGAGGAAUACCAGUGGCGAAGGCGGCCUUCUGGACUGACACUGACACUGAGGUGCGAAAGCGUGGGUAGCAAACAGGAUUAGAUACCCUGGUAGUCCACGCCGUAAACGAUGUCGACCAGCCGUUGGGUGCCUAGCGCACUUUGUGGCGAAGUUAACGCGAUAAGUCGACCGCCUGGGGAGU